rnacentral:lncRNA from 1 species
UCGAAAUCUGGGAAAAAUCUCACUCAUAUGAUGGGAACGAGCGUCUUCAAUGAGUGAGCCACAUGCGAGAAAUCGCUCCCGAGUCCCGGCUCCAUGAGCACUACUCGUCCGGUCAGAACAACAUCAAAUCGCUUAUAUACAAACCUGCCGAGAUUUGCGGCUCCUGGAGAUUUUUGAGCUGGCGUGGCUACCUGCGCGAGCCGACGCGUCAUCGGCGCUGGGUCUGGUGGGAUAGAUUUGCGGCUCCUGGAGAUUUUUGAGCUGGCGUGGCUACCUGCGCGAGCCGACGCCUCAUCGGCGCUGGGUCUGGUGGGAUUUAAUACCCUUUGUUUUCCUCUGAAAAGGAGGAAGAAUGCCGUGAUAAUAGCGCGUAGCCGGCAGGAGAUACAAAUCCAGAAGAGCAUUCUUCGUCAUCCUUCAUCCUGGUUGUUGUCUGCCAUUGUUGUGGUCUAAGC